UACGUAGGGUGCGAGCGUUUGUCCGGAAUUAUUGGGCGUAAAGAGCUCGUAGGCGGUCUGUCGCGUCUGCUGUGAAAACCUGCAGCUUAACUGUGGGCUUGCGGUCGAUACGGGCAUCACUGGAGUUCGGCAGGGGAGACUGGAAUUCCUGGUGUAGCGGUGAAAUGCGCAGAUAUCAGGAGGAACACCGGUGGCGAAGGCGGGUCUCUGGGCCGAUACUGACGCUGAGGAGCGAAAGCGUGGGGAGCGAACAGG
rnacentral:rRNA from 1 species